GGCUAUAUAGUCAAUAAUGAUAUUAAAUUGCAAAUUUAAAGGUAUAAUAAGUUGUUGUAGCCU
rnacentral:tRNA from 1 species